rnacentral:lncRNA from 1 species
AGGUGGUUUGUGCUGUUGAGAUCGGUUUAUAGUGGCUCACGAAAUUAGAAAAGUGCCCGAUCGUGUAGAUAACUGAAUAACAACGGGCAGAGUAUAAAUAAGCAGGUAACGCCUAGAAGAGGGGUCUUUUCUAUGCAAAAAGACCACUUUUAAUUCUAUGCAGUUUCUUUGCUUUCUAGGAGUAGUUUACUUAUAAUCUUUUCUUUCUUUCCUGCAUUUACUGCUUUUUUUAGGAGUAGUUUUAAGUUAGAUUUUCUAUAAGUCGUAUCGGUAUCCUUUUAUACUUUUUUAUACUUGUUUCAAACUUCAAAU